rnacentral:rRNA from 1 species
ACUUACUGGAGGUCCGAACCCACGCACGUUGAAAAGUGCGGGGAUGAGGUGUGGGUAGCGGAGAAAUUCCAAUCGAACUUGGAGAUAGCUGGUUCUCUCCGAAAUAGCUUUAGGGCUAGCCUCGAGGUAAAGAGUCAUGGAGGUAGAGCACUGUUUGGACUAGGGGCCCUUCUCGGGUUACCGAAUUCAGAUAAACUCCGAAUGCCAUGUACUUAUACUCGGGAGUCAGACUGCGAGUGAUAAGAUCCGUAGUCGAAAGGGAAACAGCCCAGACCACCAGUUAAGGUCCCCAAAUAUAUGUUAAGUGGAAAAGGAUGUGGGGUUGCUUAGACAACCAGGAUGUUGGCUUAGAAGCAGCCACCAUUGAAAGAGUGCGUAAUAGCUCACUGGUCGAGUGACCCCGCGCCGAAAAUGUACCGGGGCUAAACAUAUUACCGAAACUGUGGAUGAAC